UAAGAACAACAUUUAAAAAUGUACAGCUUGUAUAAAAUAAGAUUUCAGUUUCUUUUUAAAUACCUGUUUACUUCCAGUGCAACAGAGAUUAUUCCACAGAAAUGAUAGUUAAGGUUAAGGAAAAGGAUGUAUUAUUGUGUGUCAAUGGACGGUCCUCACAAAGAUAGAAGUACAGGUAUGUGUG